UCUUUGGCUGCCAGGGGGAACCACGACGAAGGGAGAUCCUUCCUGAAUGCGUCUCUCGCUCUUUAUCUGUGCCGCGCGGCUUCACGAGCGCUUUUUUUUCGCCUGCGCAACUUGCCUGCUGCUCUGCGCAAGUGUGUGACAUACGCAAACCAAAAUGUUCACUGUGCUUGUUCUGCCACACAUGAACUCACUCUACCCCGUCCCUGUCACAGGCCCCAUCGCGAUGGUGCGAAGCAGCCGUAGACACGUGCGCUACAGUCGUGCGCCGACCUAGUCAUCGGAGAGCACGCCCCUGGCCCACAUACUCUACCCUCACCCUGCCUCGCGGGCUGCCUCACAGCCGCUCCUCCAAUGACGCUGUUCGCCACCCCUGGCAUAUUCAUCGGGUUGACACUCAGGCUGCCCAUCACCAGGAGGCAGUGUGAGGGCUGGGGGGGGGUGAGACAUGCUGAAUUUGUGCCCAUCAUGUGGAUGACACAGCCGUGUGGUCACUGUCGCGAGUCACUCCAACGCAACGCCGUCCAGGACCUCGCCGCCGGCAUCCCUAGCGAUACAUCGCUCUGAGCUCCCGUAGGCCGUAGGUGCUUGCCCAUCACCACCAGGAGGUGGUUCGGCAUAUGGAGGGGAUGGGGGGGGGGAACUCUGCUUGGCCUCUUCCCACUGAGUGUGGGGUGUGCUGGACACCGAUUCCACGCUGAUGUGUUCCCUCUCAUGAGCGGACGUGCACAUCAUCCGGACGAUGAACGCACGUCCUCUCUAUGGUAGCGAUGGAGCGCAGAAGAAAAAGCUUACAGAAAAUUGAGCACUCAAAGGAAAGGGGGACUAAAGAAGGAAAACAGCGCAUUUGUAAGAAAGAGAGUGCCGGCUAACCUGCACGAGAGGUAGACGCUAUCUUGCACCGAGUCUCGCCACCUGUGCGUCAUAGCACAACAAAAGGCAGACGCACACACGGACACACCGACAGGUGAUCUAAGUUUGCUGACACGCACACAUUUUUUCGUUCUCAUCCGAUGCUCCAAUCUUUUGCUAUCCGGUUCCGUGUCUUCGUCAUUGCGUACAG
rnacentral:misc_RNA from 1 species